rnacentral:tRNA from 1 species
GUGGUGGCUUAGUGGUAGAAUGCUCGCCUACCAUGCAUGAGGCACUGGGUUUGAUCCUCAGCACCACA